rnacentral:lncRNA from 1 species
GCUGCGCACUUCGGUCUUUUACGUCGGCCUUCGCGAGCGUCUGGGCGGGUGGAACAAUGGCGCUGUCUUCAGUGGCACAGUGGAGCAGCUCUGAAGAUGCAAAGAUACACGAAAAAACUUCCAGAACAUCUGGGAGAAUAUUUAAUGGAAAAUCGCUUGGUUAAAACCUGACACUUUUAACAGACUAAAUCAAAUUUUUUUUGUCAGUGAACAGCGUUCUGAGUGUGGACGAGUAGCCAGUGAAGAUAAUGAAUGUCGAAUGUGACUGACUAGCAGCUUCAUUUUGAAUGAGGGUCGCUGUCUGCCCAUUGAUAGAGGCCAGAUUGUCUUGGAAGUUCCAAAGUUGCAACGAUUUCUGGCUAGUGCCACGAGGUUUACUUGACUGUUGUGUGAAAAGCUGAUAAGAAAACCAUCCAGAAAAAAGCUCUUCGUUUUACAAACAUGAAAAUAAAACAUGUAAUUUUGGA